AUUAACGUCUUCAGCUCCUCUUUUAUUGGCAAGUGUAAGCGAAUCAGUGAGGCUGCAUAACUUCCCCUGAUUUGCGAUUGUGUUUAGGAAAGAGGGGAGAAGAGAAGUGUUGGAAAGUUAUUGUCAGGAUUGUGAGUUCUGUGUGCAGGUAUGCUGGAUAUGGAGGUCAGUACAGUCAGAGCUACAGCCAGCCGGGUUACGGAGGAUACGGCCCGGGUUCGGAGUCGGACAGCAGCCCGGACCUUACGGUCAGGGAUACGGCUCCAGCUACAGCUCGGUUUUCGAACGUAGUUGUCGAUGAGGUGACAGUGAGAGGGCAAUGUCACAGGUCCCUGAGGAAAAAUGAGGAGGCUUAUCACCUUCAGGUUUCUCAGAUGAAUAGUUCUCUAACAUUCUGAUUAGACAGUUAAGUUUUCUUUUUGUUGUGUUGUGUUGUGUGUUGUACAUAGAAUGAAAUGUAAAAAAUGUUGUGCAGCAAAAACACUCAUUGUCAUGUCUCAGUGAUCAGGUUACACUCGAUUCUCAAGAGUUUCCUGUGGUACUGAAGUGCAUGUCAUGUUCCUUCUCUGCUGGGAAAGCACUGCAAGCACUAAUUGUUCCUCAUCAUCGUUAUUAUAUUACAGGGAAUUGCACCAGAGGCUAUAAAGGACAUGGCGGUGUGUAACCCAGUGGCAAAGACAAGGAAUGGUGUCAGGACUGGUGUGAAGAGCACACUGUACAGAGCAUGUGGUGGGCCUCUUCCAGUUCCUCACGUCAUGGCCAGCGGGGAGAAACUGAAAGACGAACUUCCACAACUGGGGAUAUGCAAAUUGCUGCACGGACAUGAGGGCCUUGAUUUG